rnacentral:tRNA from 1 species
AUGGCCGAAGCCGAAGGAGUCGAGGCGCCGGGCUGUGAACCUAGCGAAACCGGUGCGAGUCCGGUCGGUCAUC